UUGCCCCAUCCCAGAGUGCUCCACGAUACCCAGCUAGCGUUCACUCGAGGAAAAAGACAUCCCGAUCCGUUCGAUCUGGGAACGAGCCCCGCAUCCAUCUGGACCGUCCCAGCAUGAAACACGACACACAACCGACGGAAACCCUAGCCACCCACGCUGCCUAGCUCCUCUCCGCCGCCCCAUUCCUCGCCUCCCCUCCGCCGCCCCUUCGCUUCCUCCUCUCCACAACGUCCAGCUCCCCAUGAACAGGACCGAGAGGAUGUAGCCCUUCCUCACCGGCGCUCGGUCCGCAGAUGCGACGCGCGAGAGUGAAGGAUGAGCGGCAGUGGCCCACUUCCUCCUCUUCGCCGCCGCCCUCCCUCCCCUGGCCGUCGCCUCUCUUUCCCCACACCUCCUCCUCUCCUUCUCCCAGCGGGCUCGUCGCUCCUCUGUGGACGAAAUCCAUGGGAAUCACGAUCAACAGCGUGGAGGAUGCGGCAGUGGCAUGGGAAGUCGACGGCGCUGAUGAGGAUGGAGACAGACACUCAGUGGUCCGGUUUGCAUCUUAUAUUUGUCACGUGGCCGACGUACUGGUCUCCAGCGCCCUCGUUGGAGACGAGGGCCAUCGUGGGCGUGCAGUGACGAGCGCACAGCUUUGCCUCGCAUAUGUCACUGCUUCGACUGCCACCCAAACGUAUUGCAGGUAUGCCAAGAAAGAUCCAUCAGAAAAUAUUAAGUACUUCCAUUUGUUUAGAUAUAAAGUGAAAAUCCUUACAUUGUGAAGAACAUUGGGUUUAUUGGAUUACCCUUCUUUCAGAACUAAAUGGCUCCUGCCGAAGGAAUGUACUGAUGAUGAGUCUACCGCCUAAAAUUACCAAGUAUACUGCUACGAUGCCCUGCGGUAUUUUAUCUAUGAAGUCAGAUGGGUUCAGUUACUUGGUAUUGCUUGAGGAGAUCAAUAGUCUGUGGGAUAUCAGUUGCUUGAGGAGAUCAAUAGUCUGUGGGAUAUCAGUUGCUUGAGGAGAUCAAUAGUAUGUGGGAUAUCAGUUGCUUGAGGAGAUCAAUAGUCUGUGGGAUCAGUUGCUUGAGGAGAUCAAUAGUCUGUGGGAUAUCAGUUGAACGUAAACUCGCUAUCGCUGCCUACAAACCAUAACCCACUUAAUCACACUUCGUAUCAUAGGUAUGCGAUGUUGCGUCCUCUUCAUUGUUCUAUUGGUGAAGAGUUUCCGUUUCCUUCCCCGUUGUGUUCUCAGUCUGCUGGUCCAGAGGGACUUAUGUUGAACAUUUCGUUUCUAUACUUGGCACGCAUUGCACUCAAUACUACAGGCUUCUUGAAGGACAAUCUUCGAGAGUUCUUUUAUUCGGUUUGGUUGUCAGAGUUUAUUCUAGAGCCAACAAGCAAGAAAAAAGUUGGAAUGAACAAUCUACAGGGGAAUCAGCUUGCACAAUUUUCCCGAUGGAAUGGUGCUGUUUCUUGGUUCUGUGAAGGGUGUUCGCGUGGGACUUAACUGGCUUCUGCUAUUGCAUUACAUAACAUACCUGAUGUGAUGAAAUCAACCCAUCAGCCUUUCCGGUUAAGUAACCUGACUAUUCUUAUCUGAAGGUCUGCACGCAUAUCGCUGUGAUUGCGCGCUAACCGUUAUAAUGUAUAAUAUUACAUUUAAUCAGUCUAUUUUCAGUUUGAUGCUGAGCAAGCAUAAUAGAAUUAGGUGGCAUUAAGCGUAUUAGUACACAAGGGACCAAUUUGGAAAUUGUGUUUGCAUGAUCUAUUAUUCUGAAUAAAAUUUGCUGCAGAAUUUUUUUGUGUGGAGAGGAUGAUUUAGGGAAGUUAUGGUUGUACAAACAAAUAUCUGAGACUACUGAUUUUGUGUUGUUUACUAUCCGUGCUUCUUCUCUUAUUCACUAUCCUAUGAUUAAAUAUACGCAUCUUCUUUAGGGACUGUCGAAUGGAUAUUUUUAAAGAAAUAAUUACAAAUUUGCAUAUAGAUUAUUAGAUCUUUAUUUCUACGCUUACAUUGUAUGCUUGUAGCAAUUGAAGUCCACCUUUUCUUUUAAUAUUGGUCGAGUUCUUCGCUGGUUUAUUGUAAUGUGUUGUCAUAAAUUAUUAUCUUAAAUCAAUGGGUUACUACCUUUAAGCACUAUUUAUUGUUCGUUCUAUUUCACAAUGGUGAUAUUCAACUAUAUAUACAUAAAGUCGAUCUAUGUGGACAGGAUACUACAUCUGUAUCAUGAAAUCUUGAAAUCCUUGUAUCAUGACAGCAUAGACCGACUUUGUUACUGUGUGGGAUCCUACAGCAAACCAAUCCAUGUGAGCACAAGAGGUGAAAGCUUAUUAGGAGCUUGAUUCACGUGGAAUAGUUGAUAGAUAUCUGAAACCAAGCUGAAUGAGAAGAAGUAAGUGCAAGCUGUGUUACUUCUGUUUUCUUGUUGCACUUUGACUCGCAAUAGAAAGGUAAAUCAUGGUGACUGAUAUUACAUUCAGUGGUUGUUAAUUUCUUCUGUCCUAAUGUACCGAGGCAAACAGUUUUGCAUGUCCAAUGCGUGAACCAGAAACUGCAAGAAGCAUAAAUCAGCUGUUUAACAUAAAUGUGAUGGCUAUCUAGGUGAAUCACUUUGUGCUUCAUGUGCUGAUUAGUUCAAAGAAUCAAAUUUCAUUCAAGGCAAGCUACACAGGUGGAAAAGCAAUUGGCUGAAAACUCUCUCUCUGAUGUUUGAGAAGCAAACUCUUGCAGAUAGCUCAGUGGACAAGAGCUAUAUCAAAGUUAGCGAAGCAUCAAUAUAUUGAAGUUUUGCUUUUGUUCUGCACUGUCAUUGUGUAUCAUUGGAAAUAAGGAGAUGUGUUUUCUUUAUGCCUGUUGUAGAUGACCGAAUUCUGUAUUUUCUUUAUUGUGGAGUUACCAAGUGAUGUAAGGGCACUCGACUUUGAUUUUCUCCAAGCAUUAAUUUUAGGGCACUCAACUUUGAUUUA